UACGUAGGGGGCGAGCGUUGUCCGGAAUGACUGGGCGUAAAGGGCGUGUAGGCGGCCGAUUAAGUCCGGAGUGAAAGUCCUGCUUUCAAGGUGGGAAUUGCUUUGGAAACUGGUUGGCUUGAGUGCGGAAGAGGUAAGUGGAAUUCCCAGUGUAGCGGUGAAAUGCGUAGAGAUUGGGAGGAACACCAGUGGCGAAGGCGACUUACUGGGCCGUAACUGACGCUGAGGCGCGAAAGCGUGGGGAGCGAACAGG
rnacentral:rRNA from 1 species